AAAACAUUAAACAACCAUGCGUUCCACUGGCGUCACUAGUACGUACUACUAUCGUUCUGGUUUGAUGUCAAUUUUUUAUGGUGGUUUUUUUAGCGAUGCAUGGGAGAUAAAUGGUUUAAGAUGUAUCUCCAGCUAUUGAAGUGAGGGAAAGCCUUUUUCUUUCCCCCAGCCAAAAUCUGAUAUAGUUGGUCAUGUUUCUUGCGACAAAU
rnacentral:snoRNA from 17 species